CCAGGCCCUUAUCGAAGCUGCACCAGUUCUUCCAAUAGCUGUUGCAGUCAAAAAGGAGCCCAGAGUGACAGUUUUCUCGACGGUCGCUGUUCUAUUUAAUUCUGUAAUAGAACCGCAACAUUGUGGGAAAAGACAUGC